rnacentral:lncRNA from 10 species
CUUCUUUCUCUCUCCUGCCGCCUUGUGAAGAAGGUGCCUGCCUCCCCUUCCACCACGAUUCUAAGUUUCCUGAAGUCUCCCCAGCCAUGCUGAACUGAUAAGGUCCAUCUUGGCAAAUGGUCUGUGUGCACAAGAAAGAAUGUGAAUUCUGCAGUUGUUGGAAUGUUAUCUUAUCUGGAAGAAGAGGAAUAGGAAAGAAAAGGAGUCAGGAAUGGAUCUUACUCAGAAGGCUGACUAGACACAGCCAGGUGGAAGAGCUCCCACUGCGGGACCAAGAUGACUGGAAUGCCCCUAACAGAUCUUCAGAGGGAAGAAACCAGGAGUGGACAGAGAGAAGACACAGAAGCUGGGCUGAAGGUAGUGAAAGCUGGGAAUGUGGCACAGGACUACUGCACACCAGGUUUUGUUCCUGGCCCACAAUG